GUAUUCAUGUCAACAGCACACAUACUAAAAUAGAAAUGAUACCGUGAAAUUUAGUAUGGCCCCUGCACAAGGAAAACAUCCAGAUCCCCACACUUCCAGUGUGU
rnacentral:snRNA from 1 species